GAUUAACGCUGGCGGCGUGCAUAACACAUGCAAGUCGAACGAUGAAACUUAACUGAUUUCUUCGGAAUGAUUUUAAGUGGCUUAGUGGCGGACGGGUGAGUAACGCGUGAGUAACCUGCCUUGGAGAAGGGGAUAGCCUUUGGAAACGAAGUAUAAUACCCUAUGAUAUGAUAAUAUCUCAUGAUAUUAUCAUCAAAGCUUUAUUGCUCUAAGAUGGACUUGCUUCUGUUUAGUUUGUUGGUGAGGUAACAGCUCACCAAGGCAGCGAUCAGUAGCCGGAUCGAGAGAGCGGACGGCCACAUUGGGACUGAGAGCAGGCCCAGACCCCUACGGGAGGCAGCAGGGGGGAAGUUGGCACAACGCGGGAAACCCGGAUGCAGCGAGGCCGCGUGAUUGAGAAGGCAGUCGGGUUGUAAAGAUCUUUUGUAUGGGAAGAAAAUGACAGUACCAUACGAAUAAGGACCGGCUAAUUACGUG
rnacentral:rRNA from 1 species